rnacentral:misc_RNA from 1 species
UUCGGGAAGCCUGCUAUGGCGUCGCCGCCUGCGGCGACGAAGUCCCACAGGUCCUCGGGCGAGCGCACGUCACCGGGGAAC